AAAGCUUGGGGUUGAGAAGGACAGAGAGGACUUUAAUUUUGCUCUGGCGGAGUGACGUCAUAAGGCUGCGCGCUCCCGCGUCUGUUGUGAUACGGCUCGAGGAAGAGAAAGUCCUGCUGAAGCGACUGAGAUCAUUGUGACUCACUGAUAUAAAGAUGGCGUAUAUUAAAGAGGAGAGUGAAGACUUCAGGAUUGAAGAAGUGUUCAGUCUGAAACAAGAAGAGACUGAGGAACAAACAGACCUGCUGGUGCUGAAAGAGGAGAAUCAGAUCUGAAUGAAAU